rnacentral:rRNA from 1 species
CGGGUGAGUAACACGUGGAUAACCUACCUAUAAGACUGGGAUAACUUCGGGAAACCGGAGCUAAUACCGGAUAAUAUAUUGAACCGCAUGGUUCAAUAGUGAAAGACGGUUUUGCUGUCACUUAUAGAUGGAUCCGUGCCGCAUUAGCUAGUUGGUAAGGUAACGGCUUACCAAGGCAGCGAUGCGUAGCCGACCUGAGAGGGUGAUCGGCCACACUGGAACUGAGACACGGUCCAGACUCCUACGGGAGGCAGCAGCU